CCUGGCGGCUUUAGCGAGGUGGUCCCACCUGACCCCAUGCCGAACUCAGAAGUGAAACGCCGUAGCGCCGAUGGUAGUGUGGGGUCUCCCCAUGCGAGAGUAGGGAACUGCCAGGC
rnacentral:rRNA from 1 species